rnacentral:rRNA from 1 species
AUUGAACGCUGGCGGCAGGCUUAACACAUGCAAGUCGAGCGAGCGGCGGACGGGUGAGUAAUGUCUGGGAAACUGCCUGAUGGAGGGGGAUAACUACUGGAAACGUUAACUAAUACCUCAUACCAUCAGAUGUUCCCAGAUGGGAUUAGCUAGUAGGUGGGGUGAUGGCUCACCUAGGCAACGAUCCCUAGCUGGUCUGAGAGGAUGACCAGACACACUGGAACUGAGACACGUGCCAGACGCCGACGGGAGGCCUCAGUGGGGAAUAUUGCACAAUGGUCGCAAGCCUGAUGCAGCCAUGCCGCGUGUGUGAAGAAGGCCUUCGGGUUGUAAAGCACUUUCAGCGAGGAGGCGUUACUCGCAGAAGAAGCACCGGCUAACUCCGUGCCAGCAGCCGCGGUAAUUC